CCUUAUGGCGGCUCGGCGGGCGGGCGCGAGCCCGGCCGGUUUCUCGCAAGAGGUUGCCCGGUAGACCAACUCGUCGAGCUGCCGCCCUC
rnacentral:antisense_RNA from 2 species